rnacentral:rRNA from 1 species
GACGAACGCUGGCGGCGCGCUUAACACAUGCAAGUCGAACGGAAAGGCCUGCUUUCCCUUGUGGAUUGCGGGUACUAGCGUGGCGAACGGGUGAGUAACACGUGAGUUAUCUGCCCCCAACUUUGGUAUAAGCCUGGGAAACUGGGUCUAAUUCCCGAUAGCACUGCAGGGUGGUGCCUGUGGUUGAAACCGAUUUUCUAGUGGUUGGGGAUGAGCGGUCGGCCUAUCAGCUAGUUGGUGGGGGAAUGUCUUACCAGUGCGGGGCCGGGUAGCCGGCCCGGGGGGGUGGACGGCCACAGGGGGACUGAGAUACGGCCCAGACGCCUACGGGAGGAAGCAGUCGGGAGGAAGGCACGAUGGGUGGAAGACUGAUGCAGGGACGCUGAGUCGGCAAUGACGGGCUUCGGAUGGUGGACUCCGGUCGGCAGCGAGGAAGCCACCGGGAUGGAAGGGUAGUGACGGUAGUGGGAGAAGAAGCACCGGCUAACUACGUG